rnacentral:lncRNA from 1 species
CCGCGGGCCCUCGGUGCAGCAAAUCGGAAAGUGCUGCGGUCGGCGGCCCUGGGCUCUGAGCGCUCAAGCGAGCAGAGGGGUGGAGGGGCUCUCCCCACCCACAGGAGGCUCUCGGCGGGGCGCAGCCAAUUCUGCGCGCCCAAGGCUCCCCUCUGCCGUGGAUCGCGUGUGCCGAGUGUUGGCCUCUUCCCCGAAAGGGCCAGACGGACCAAGGGGGCCUUCCCAGCCGGCUGCAAGCUCUCAGACGCUAAAAUGGGAACAAAGCUUCCAGAAAGGCAGCGCCUUUGGGCGGCCGCGCCCCGCCCAGCCGCGGGGGCCAUUGAUACAGAGGCUUGCUGCGCUUGGUGUGCGCGGCCCGGCCGGGCCUCUGGAAACGCCCAUGAGAAAUGAGCUCAUGCUGGAUGCGCGCGCUCCUUGGGCGCAACUGCCCAGCGCAAAACGGGCCCCGAAAGCAGGUGAGGGGAAAUGCCGUCAGGCCGGAUAUCCUGAAGCCUCCGAGGAAAUGGGGGGGUCAGAGGAGCCCGUGGUAGCUUUGGAUCUUUUGGAACUAGGGUGAUCUAUAAAAGUGCAGCUUGAGAAGAUUUCAUACAUAAGACCAGCGUCCAUUGUUCUACCAUAGAACCAGUUCCUUUGGUCUGCUUUAGAACAGUGAGGUAUGGCUACGUCAAGAUAACAGAGAAAGUAGAACAGACAGUUGCCAUCCUGAUUGUAAUCCAGUGGUGCCUGUAAUUUCUACCUGCAGAGUCAUCUCUUUCUGUUAAGAUGCUGUCUCCAGAAAGCACAUGUUAAAGGACCUAUAUUUGAUCAGAUUACCUGGCUCUUGCUUUGAAACACUGAUGAAGGACUUGGGACAGAACAAAGUGAGUGGAGGACACUUCAAUCUAAAGUGAUCUUAAAGGAGGAGUAGUAGGAUUUGAAGAUGAAGAAAGAAGAGGGGAGGUUAAAAAAUGGAGGCAACAGCUGGGUACAGUGGCUCACUCCUGUAAUUCCAGCACUUUAGGAGGCCAAGGUAGGCAGAUCACUUGAGAAAAAGAGUUCGAGACCAGCCUGGGCAACAUAGUGAGACCCUCUCUCUCAAAAAAAAUAGCCAAGUGUGAUGAUGGACACCUGUAACCCCAACUACUUCAGAGACUGAGGCAGGAGGAUCACUUGAGCCUAGGAGGUCAAGGCUGCAGUGAGCUGUGAUUGGGCCACUGCACUCCAGCCUGGGUGACACAGAGAGACCUCUCUAAAAAAUAAAAAAAUAAAAAAAAUGGAAGCACAGAAAACUAUACCUUUUCUAGCUCAACUUUACCACAUUGAUGAAAAAGUAUUGAGCAGCCACAGGUACAUGACAUUCCACUAUGUUCUUGGGAUAAUAUUAAAGAAAAGGCAUGAAGGUAUGCUCUGA